ensembl:lncRNA PPP1R3B-DT PPP1R3B divergent transcript
AGUUCAGCGAGCCAUUUCAGCAGAUUGGAGAUCCCCUGCCUGCAGCACGUGCUGAUCUCCAAGGGUGAGGCUGGAUGAAGCCAGGGGCUAUGGAAAGGGAGACUGUUUCAGAGGACUUGACACCAUCUUCAGUAAUUUCUCUGGUUCUUGGCAGCUCCAUUUGGCUGCGUCCCUACCCUGCAUAACCCUCCCAGCUAGUCUACUCCAGGGCAGCAUCCAGCUGGUGACCUGAGAGGGCAGUGGCGCACCAGUCUCCAUGAAGGUUGAGCUCCGAUGGCCAACAGCCAUUUCCACCUUGUGGUCUACAACUCUUCAUCCCGACUGCAUGGAGGUUGGUCUCUCUCUUCAGCUGGAUUUAGGCCACCAUCUGAGCCCCCGGGGUACGUUUUGUCUGACCCUGGCGCCAUUCGAACGGUUCUUCUACAGCAUCAGGCGUUCACCUGGCUCCUAGGGCUUUUGUGCUGUAGGCCUAUAUUUCCAGCUACUUUUGGAAAAAAUCUCUCUGGAGGCUCAAUGAGCUUGUCACAUCAGCCUGCCCAGAGUAUCAAGAAAGACUUAAUCAGCAGUGAAUACUCUCCACCAAGCCCUUGACCCAUUGUCAGUCUCUGGCAUCAGAUCCUUUCCAGUAGGGCAAAGUGCAACUGCAGCCAGCUCAUGCCUUCAAGAGAAGGACUGAAGAUCAUUGUGUGCCUAAACCAAUUCUCUUUCCUGCCACCAUGUGAAGAAGGACAUGUUUGCUUCCCCUUCUGCCAUGAAUGGACAGGGUCCUGCUGUGUUGCCCAGGCUGGCCUUGAACUCCUGGCUUCAAACAGUCUUCCCACUUGGGCUCCCAAAGUGCUGGGAUUAAAGGGGCGAGUUACAGCACCAGGACCUGAAAUGUGACACCCCUGCUCCCCAUUCACCCUCCGCUAUCAGUAAAAGCUUCCUCAGACCUCACCAGAAGCUGGACAGAUAGAUGCUGGUGCCAAGCUUGUACAGACUGCAGAACCAUGGGCCAAAUAAACCUCUUUUCUUUAUAAAUUG